CUGGACCUGAUGAACAAAACAGUUUAACAAAGUUUAGCAAAGCAGUUUAUCAGACGCACUGUGCCUCACAUAUUACAUUUGAGUCUUUAGUUCCAAAAAGUUAACUGUAAAUUCACAAUUUAGUGUUGAAAAGAUUUGGUGGGGGAUUAUUGUACUUUUAUUUUUGUUGGUAUGGUAGUGACAAUUGCCACAAGUUGUCUAGUCAGAUUAACAGGCCAAGGGUGUUUAUCAAGAAUAUUUAUUUACAAGUUUCCAUCCGUGAUUGACCCAGAAGUAAUUAAGACAGCCGUGUUUGACACGGCAGUGAUUUAUUCCAAAGGGACGCACAGCACACAUUAGAGUAAAUGGACAUGAAAGUGUCCCUAAAAUGGUCCAGAGUACUCUCUUCUCAUCAGCUUGAGAAAACUUAGUUUCAAUUUUAAUGUUUAAUUUCAACAUUGGUGCGUUUGCUAAUGUUUUCCACUGGUGUCUCCUAUUGUUGGGUAAAUUAAUACCUCUUAUGGCACAAAUGUUGUCAUUUACUUUGCCAUGUGUAUAACAAAGCAAAAAGAUAUAUAUAAUUUCAUGUAGCACAUGCCCAUGGCUGGUCUAAGCUGUAUAAUUCAGACAUUGUAGGUAAAAGUAAAAUGUUAUUACCGAGA